ACCAAUGAGAGCAGGUGUUCCUCUGUGUUUGUUUAGAAGCGCAGGUGUUUGUAAUUAGAUGUAAAGUCUGGUGAGAAAAUGAUAACCUGGGGUCAAUAACUAGGAAAAUAUUUUUUAUUUGUUGUAAAUUACAUCCCUGGUGAAGUCUUCAAAAAGAAUAAUGAUUUAAUUUAAAUAAUAUGUCCUCGGUUCCUAUGGCCACAGACCAGACAGAGGAAGACUGAGAAACUUCGUCGAACACGCAGCAAACUUCAAGUAAAUAACGGACAUUAACGGAAAUUACUGUGUUUGACCCUUUCACGGACAACAACGGUCACGACAUCUCAAUGGACAGAAGCCGGUUUAUAUUUGCUUCAACCUUCUGAGCAACAAUGUGACCGUUCAAAUCUGCGACCCUGCUCCAACCUUCAUCCUUGAUGCACAUUCAAUUCCUAUGAGGUGUCCCUUUGUCCUGCCACUGUAAGUAGACAGCUGAGACCUGACCUCCAGAGUUACAUCUUCAGUGAAGCAAGAAGGGAACACUCCAGGAAAAAGUGUGCGAAGAUGCGGGAAAAGUUUAAAGAAUGACUGGGAGAAGAGGCCGAGAAGUCGACUCUGCUGCUAAAAUAUGGACAUAAAGCUGUUGCGAGGAUAAACACCUCUUGCUCCCUCACCCAGGCACGUCUGAUAACAGUGGUUGACGGAGGCUGUUUUCAGAUAAGACACAGCAUGCACACAGUGUUACAUCAUUUCUGUUUACGGCCGGAGACAGAAUAAUAACAUCUACAACAGAAAUCAUUGAAGUUCCUGGCUGCAGCUUUAAUAGAACAUUAUUGACUGACCAUCAAAUGAAAAAGAUACACCCCCGGUUCUGAACACUGUUAUUAUUUCAACGAUUGCUUGUUAUCAUGGGAGAAAACAUCAACAAUUAUGCACUGAUAACAAUGAAGUUAACUAAAAAGUGGCAAAAUCUAUGUCCCUAAAGUUGAUUUAAACUGUUUACUUCCUUUUUUAGGACUUUUCACAGUGCAUCAGUGAUGGAUGAUAAUAAUCAGUAAUGUUUUUUACAGCUGCUCAGCCAGGUAGCCGUCACACAGAGGUGAGGUCAAACCAACAAACGGGCACAGUUUUCACCUGACUAACUUCUGUCAUCACUGUUCACAGAAGAUAAGGUUCAAAGUUCCUCAAACCGUCUGUAAAAAAAUAUAAACUGGAAGGUUUCAUUUGAGGAAAUAAAAUUAGGUCUCAGUGUAACCUGAGAUGUGUAAUUCAUGGUAGGUAAAAAAAAAUAGAUAGAUACUAUUUGUAUAUAUACUUCAGUAAACAUUAGCCCAGCUUUACUGAUUCUGGUAUAAAAGCCAUGUUUCCAGCUUGAUUCACUGUAAAAGGUUUCUUUUGUCCAUUUUAAUAAACACGUCUUGUUUACUGCAGCCAAAGUGUGAGGCAUCGCCGCUGUCCUGAUAAUUAUGAGUAGCACUUUUGCUGUGUAGAGAAGACUAACACGUCCUGUCUAAAAGCUGCCAUUGUGCCAAUUGAUUUAGUGGUGUGUGGCUGAGAAUUACCCCCAGCCAUGGCAGCAAUGAAAUGGAAGAGUGCAGUGAGGAAUGCUGUCCUUCAGGUCAACGAUUACAAUGAUGACAGUGUCAGAGAGCUGCCUUCAGUCAGCUUUGAUUUCAGAAGGAGUUUAAUCAUGGAGGCAGUGUCCCUUCACAUGUCCAGUCUCUGUCGUUACUGUAUGUUUCUGACAUAAGGAAUAAAUGUUAAAAAAGGUUCAUACACUGUUUAACAUGCUCUUUAAGGCAAAAGUGUCCCAGCUUACAGAACACAAUUAGAACUGACCUGAGGUCUUUUUAUGAAUGGCUGUAGUGCAGUUCCAUUGUUUUCAUUUCUUUGUAUCGGUUCUGAAGUGGCUGAGACACACCUUCUCAGAGGUCCUUGAUGUGAUCCUGUGCUGUGAACCUGUAAUUCUCAAUGAACUGCACUCACAGAGUUAAAUAUAAACUAGCCAAAGCAGCAGAAGGGGACAGUUUUACAGCUGGAGAUAAAAUAUCUGCAUAGAGGCCGAGGCUGUUACUCACAUUAGAUGACAAAAUAUAGCCAUGGUCAAGGAGAUUGUCUGGCUGUAUUAUUUUCUGCCUGUUUCUGUCACUGAACACAUUUAUUCUGCACAACAAGGCAUAAAUCUGACUUUGGGUUUUUACUACACACCGGUAAAUGUUCAUGACUGCAUCUGGCACAGUUGGGUCACUGUGUC